rnacentral:rRNA from 1 species
AUGGCUUACGUACUGAUUCGGGCUCGGCCCGAUCCUCCCACCCUUUGUGUACCUACCUCUGUUGCUUUGGCGGGCCGCGGUCCUCCGCGGCCGCCCCCCUCCCCGGGGGGGUGGCCAGCGCCCGCCAGAGGACCAUCAAACUCCAGUCAGUAAACGAUGCAGUCUGAAAAACAUUUAAUAAACUAAAACUUUCAACAACGGAUCUCUUGGUUCUGGCAUCGAUGAAGAACGCAGCGAAAUGCGAUAAGUAAUGUGAAUUGCAGAAUUCAGUGAAUCAUCGAAUCUUUGAACGCACAUUGCGCCCUUUGGUAUUCCGAAGGGCAUGCCUGUUCGAGCGUCAUUACAACCCUCAAGCUCUGCUUGGUAUUGGGCACCGUCCUUUGCGGGCGCGCCUCAAAGACCUCGGCGGUGGCGUCUUGCCUCAAGCGUAGUAGAACAUACAUCUCGCUUCGGAGCGCAGGGCGUCGCCCGCCGGACGAACCUUCUGAACUUUUCUCAAGGUUGACCUCGGAUCAGGUAGGGAUACCCGCUGAACUUAAGCAUAUCAAUAAGCGGAGGAA